AUCCAGCCCCCGAAUCGAAAGGGCCCAUAUUACACCACCGGGUAUGUGGGUUGACAAGCCGUGGACGUGUCGACCUAGAUGUGUGCGUGAUAGAUCAGUCUACGAGCUAACCCAGUGGACUGUCACAAAUGUUGCUCAUCUAUCCGUCAAUUACAUCUAGGUGGACAGGACACGCCCACUUGUGAUGUCAGAAGAGGCAGAUCCUCAAAACGGCUUGUGAUGGCUAAUCACACUCACGCCUGGUGGUAUAAUAUGUCACCUUUAAAAACAACGAUGGCCAUGAGCAGUGGUGCAAAGGGAGGGGAAGCAAGCCGGAAACACGUUGGGGAUGGGGAUGAGGAUGGCUGAUUGCUGAUUCGAGUGUCCUGAUUGUUACAAAUCUCUCUGUGGCGGAAGAAAUCACGCAGGCGAGGAACCGGGAGGCGGAGAGGGAGAGGGGUAGAUGAUAGAUUUGGAGAUUAAUUAAAAAGGAAAGACAAUUUCGAUUAUCGUUUUGGGAAACCGUUAAUCCUUUAGACCUAAGUCAAGUAAAACUACGCCCAAACCAUUUGCGUAAAGCAUCCAAACUGCUAAUGUUUGUUGGCUUUUUUCUGUUUCGGAUGUGUUUGAAAUAAUUAGGCCUACGUUUCAGAGAAAAACCUUAAUGCCUUUGGUCUCUUGUUUGAUUGGCCAAUUUUCCAUGCCCCUUCAUAGACGGAAUGGAACUCCAUUAUUCAAAAAACGUAUGAGCUACUUCACAAUGAAAACCACCAUUGCAUUUAAAUUCACAGGGUUCUCGCAGCUAUAGAUGACAUAGGGGACCAAUCUCUCAGACUAACGACCGAGUUGCCUUCAAUGGCUGACUUGUUUCCUGAUAGGUAGUCCUACAGUGUGUUUCCCCUGUGGCUGAGCCCAUCCUUACCAAGCUCCUCCAAUUGAUUUAAGUUUUGACAGAGCGUGGCUUUUGCAUUGAUAUUUAAGAACCAACGUCGUUAGGUGCAGCGUUUGUGUGUGUGGGUAUGUGUGUGUGUGUGUGUGUGUGUGUGUGUGUGUGUGUGUGUGUGUGUGUGUGUGUGUGUGUGUGUGUGUGUGUGUGUGUGUGCAUGUAUGUAUGUGUGUGUGCGUGUGUGUGUGUGUUUGUGUGUGUGUGUGUGUGGUUGGGGGGGGGGAGGUUGCACGAUUAGGGCAUUUAUUAAACACCCAUUCGAUAUGUUGGCACUGAUGUGUUUCACACACACACAAACACACAAACACACACGCACACACACACACACACACACCCAAACACACACACACACACACACACACACACACACACACACAACAAAACACACACACAAACACACACACACACACACACACGCACACACACACAGACCCACACGCACACACACACAAAAACACACACACACACACGCACACACACACACACACACACACACACACACACACACACACACACACACACACACACACACACACACACACACACACACACACACACACACACACACACACACACACACACCAGGACAAUUAAGAUGGUAAUGGAGGUGCAGUGGCUGCCAGCUCAGAUGCUGAACCCAGAGGGGAUAGCGGCGUGGUCUGCAUCUUCAUCUGCAGCACCUCCGCCACCACCUUACCUCCUCAAAAUCCCUGGCUUUCCACCUCCCCAUCAAUUGCAGGAACGAUUUGCUGUAAUGCAAUGUCUAGGGCGUCUCUGGCAGACCAGCGCAGCCACAGAAUACAAACAAAAAAACACACCCAAAAAUAAAGGUCUGGGUAGGGCUGGGCAAACAUUUUUUGGUGAUGAGCUCAGAGUGUAGAGGCAGCGAUCCACGCACACGUUUGUGAUGGAGGGUCAAAUGUUCUAAUUUCCUCCUUGCGCAACUACCUCAAGUGUCCAGAACAUUCCAGAACGCUCCUUCGUGGAGUCGCUGACUCAGACGAGGGGGAAAAAGGGAGGGAAAGGGAGAGAACGGGACGGAGAGUGAUAAAACGGGUCUCCUGUUAGUUAUCUCGCUGUUUGCCUGGUGGCCUCACAUCAACGUUGUUGACGGCGCGGACGGUGUGUGUGAUGGAGGGACGACCUACCCAACCGUGAAACGGAAAGAGAAACAUCCACCGCAGGGUGGACCUUGGACACAGGAGUCAAGGAUUAAAUGUAUCAGCCGGGAAGGGUCGGUGGGGGUCAAGGAGGUGCUGCUGAAAACUCAUUCCGUCAGAAAUUCAAAGCGUUCCCCCUUUUUCUGGAACUCAAAGCAAACGUCGGGCCGACUUUGAGGGGGCUGCGGGGGGGGGGCUUGGCUAGGGGUUGAAAGGGAAUCGUAGGGAGACUGGCGCCCACGCUCUCUGAAUUGAAACAGAAUCAUCUCGGCAUGUACCCGUACCAGCCUAGGUGCAGGACUUGGACUUCUUGUACUUUUACUGUGGGAAAGAAAAAAACCCAAAGACACUGUUAUGAGCGUCAGGCAGCAGGCUUUCACUUCUAAGUAGAUUAGCGGAGACAGGGAGUGUGAAGGGGAUUCCAGCUUUGACUGGACUCCCCCCCCCCCCCCCCCCCCCCUCAUUCUGAUUCAUGAUUCUUUGUGUAUUUUCAUCCUUUAUAUGAGCCUUGAUCUCUAUUUACACCCAGUAUAGACACUCAUCUUCUCUUUAUUUAUUUCUCUCUCUUAGGUUGUUUCUCAUCUCCAACCCCCCCCUCUCUCUCUCUCUCUCUCUCUCUCUCUCUCUCAGCUUUUCUGCAUUUUAUGGGAUGCUCUCUCUGCCGUGACGUUGUUUUGCUCUCCUUCACACUGCUCUUCACGCUCUCCACUCCCAUUCUUCUACCUUUACCUCUCUCUUUCUCUCUCCCUCUCUCCCGCUCUCUCUCGCUCACUGUGUGUCAGCAUUUCAUUAUCUCUUUCUCUCUCUCUCUCCAGUCUCUCUCCCUCCUUCCCUCCCUUUCUGUUCUUGUGAGGACUCAUUCCAGCGUGAAACAGCUCUCUCUCUCUUUCUCUCUCUCUCUCUCUCUCUCUCUCUCUCGUCGUAACUCGCCCGUUAGCACAAGGUGCGUGGGACAUAUUUUUCUACACAGAAAUUGAUCAGCGCUGGGCCCACGUUGAGGCACCAUUCUGUCACAAUUUGCCUCAGGACAAGGCUAGCGUAGGAGACAGCCUAGGACACUGCCUUGGGCACAGACUAGGGUACAUCUUAGGAGACAGGCUUGGAAAGAGUCUAGGAGAGGACAAGCUGCCAGAUAGACAGACAGACCAAAGGACAGACUGACAGCCGCGUAAAGUUAAAACUGAAUUUUGGAGUAAACCUUUCUUUCUCCCAGGUUACAGAGGGGCAAUCAGGGCCACGACACAAAACAACAAAAAAAGUAUUUGAAAAGGCAUAGCUUCUUUUAACUCUUCAGAGUGCCCUGUGGUCAUGAUAUUGAUCGCCUUCCCUCUGCCGAUACACAACUUCGCUCCAGGCGAUGAUGUCCAUUUUCAGGGCAGCAGAAGUUAAGGGAAAUGAAUUCGGCCUUAAGGUUUGAAUGAAAAGCAAUACAUGCUGGCGUUCAGCACCAUUACAUUAGCGAUGAACAGGGGUAAAGGUGUUGCCUUAAGAUGAGAAUAGUUUUUUCCCCCCCAAAACAAAUUCCAUUACACUCACUUGGGAAACACAUUUGGCCGCUUUUAUGGCUCCAGGUGUUUUCUGUGUCUGGGCUAUUACCAGACGUAAUGUGAGAAUGAUAGAACAUGUAAUGUCCUGGUGCUGGAAACUCACUUCCCUUAUCUUUCUCCACGCACAACUGUUAUCAGUCUGCGAUGCUUCUCAAAGCCAAAGUCCGUUAGCCCAGCUGCCAAACUCAAAUCCAAUAUGUAAAAAAAACUUUGACAAACUGCCAUCUCUUGCUAAAAUCAACUUAAUCGACCUAUCAACUGGGAAGCCCGAACUUCCAAGGCAACAACGCCAAAGAGGACAAGAAUUCAGGAGAUCAGUAAAUUGAGUCCAGCGAACAAAGUAUUAUCCGACCCUCUAUGCCUUCGCCAGACACUCAAACUCGGUAUAAAUAUUUGCGAGUCAGAUAUUCGAGUCGGUCUCAAAGCUCAAAGUUGUUGACUUUAUUCGCUGUUAUUUAGGUCACGGGCAGGCAGGCAGCGACCGGCACCAGCUCUCUCUCAUCUGGAGGGACGCUGAUAGCAACUGGGGCUGGUUACGGUGAUGUGAAGCGACAGGAAAGGAGGACAGGCGACAGAAUGUACAGUGUGCACUCAAGGGGGCGGUGGGGCUAUGAGGAAGGCUCAUUAGGUUAGCGUCAAAGAGGGGCAUGACUGAAUGCCCAACGGCUUUCCCUGCUUCCUUUUGUUGUUUUCAUUUAAUCGCUCAAUGUCACAGCUACGAGCCAUAGUAGGUAUUGAAGGGGUUGUCCUUUUUUUAAUUUCCGUACUCUAAAAUAGCAUCAUCCAUCUUCUACCAUCUAUUUGCAUUGCUGUAGCGGGAUAGAAGGUAGGACGAAACCACCGAUAACAUGAAGUUUCCCCAGCAUUUAGCAGCCCGAGUUGUCUUUGCAACUUGACCUUGAUAUUGUUGCUAGGGGGUUAUUAGGUUUGAUUAGGAUUGAAAUCCUCCUCCAAUCGCGACCACGUUGAGACGAAGGGGGCUGAAUACCUAGGUGCCACUCGCUAACCCUGACCCUCUUAUCGCGAGUCGUAAGCGACUCAGCAACCGACGGGGGUAGAACCGCUCCCAGGGUCCCGAGAUCUCUGGUCCCUGCCCGAGUGAAUCCCCUUGUCUAAUGUCCCAGAGGGGGGGGGGCGGUGUCUGCCCAGUACUCAGCAUCACUGUGUCAGACUGAUUUAGUUGGAAGGUUUCGAAACAGUCCCUCAGAAGGUUUUCUGAGGAGUGUCAGAGCAAGCAAGACCUUUUUCUAUAAUCCCAUUUUGAGUCCCCUUUCAUUUUUUUCCGGGGGAGUAACGCCAGGCUUAAGGACCCUGUAGCGUUUCGGGUUUUGUGGUUCUAUCCGCACGGCGGCAUGCGGUUUGCUGCCAGGGGAAGACAGGCGGACAGGAGUGCUGAUUGGUGGAAGGAAGAAAGGGGUUGCUUUGCGUGGAUGUCAGGACUGGAAAAAGAUCUCCAUAAAAAUUGCAAUGGAUGUCUGCGUGAAUGCCUUUAGAGUUGCGGGGGAGUUCUGAAUGGCUCGGGGUGUGACAGAAGUGUAAUGCUCAUCAGCUUACAUCCUGGGGUGAACUACCUCUCCGUUCGGUUUCGGUUAACACUUUUCAUCGUCGGAUGGAAAGCUGAUUCUUCUUUUUUUAAACUUCUCGUUUAGUUUUUUAUAUUCUUUUCGCCAGCGGCUUCUUGAUUACACAAGUUUAUUGAAGGGCGCGGAAAAUGAGAAACUACUUUCUGCAGGGGCGUGGGAUCAAUGAACGAGCUCGUUCAA